rnacentral:piRNA from 1 species
UCCNCAGUGUUAUUGUGACAUAUGCCUUUGC